UACGUAGGUGGCAAGCGUUGUCCGGAAUUAUUGGGCGUAAAGCGCGCGCAGGCGGCCUUUUAAGUCUGAUGUGAAAGCCCCCGGCUCAACCGGGGAGGGUCAUUGGAAACUGGAAGGCUUGAGUGCAGAAGAGAAGAGCGGAAUUCCACGUGUAGCGGUGAAAUGCGUAGAGAUGUGGAGGAACACCAGUGGCGAAGGCGGCUCUUUGGUCUGUAACUGACGCUGAGGCGCGAAAGCGUGGGGAG
rnacentral:rRNA from 2 species